GGGGAAAUGAAAUAACUCAAAACGGAGAUAAAAAGUACUUAAAAACAAAUACUUUUCCAACACUACUGGAUUGAGUACAAUUUGACUCUGAUUGUUGGAUACUUUUAACUUAAUGUUGGAGUAUACUGAAAAGACUAAGCUUUGAGUAAAUUUAGAGAUUGGUGAUUUGUUUUGUUUUUGUUUGUUGCUUCGAAAGUAUCCAAAAGAAGGUGUUGUUACCACACAUGAUUUUGGAUGAAAAUUUUAUUCUACGCCAUGUUUAUUUCCAGUUGGGCAUUUGCUGGUCAUUCUUUCCGCGUAUUUUGGAAAUGUUUGUUACCUUCAUGCAUCAAGCGAUAAGCGCACAUCAUUCCUCGGUUGAUUCCACGAUUUUCAAUCCCAAGAGCUUCAAUUUGGACAGAAGAUGAUCAAAUUUAUUCGUUGGUUAAUAAUCGCAGAAAUUUUCUCUGGUCAUUUAUCCGCUCUGCUGAACUCCCGGUGAUGGAAGACGGAAAACUGUACGUGACCGCUGAUGUAACCUGGACCCGGAUGGCGUAUCUACCAGCCCCAGGCGGGCGUAAGUUAUCAAAUUACGUGACGUUGUGUUAUAUUUUUGAUUAUUUGUACCAAAUAUUUAAAUAAAAGAAACUUGGAUGCACGCUGGGUACCUAUGAGUUUAUUUAUUAUUUACGAGAACCAAAAAUCAAAUAUUCAUAAAAUUAUCUAUUAAGAAAAACCUAAUUUUGAGUAUUUUUAGCUCAAAAUCCACUAUACUUGCAAUACAUUCUUUUUACUUAAAACAGAGUCUACAUAAAACAACUCAAAUUUGAGUACUUCGCGAAAAACUCAAAUUUGACUGGUUUUACUUAGCUGUCAAGCUGAGUGAAAAAGACUUAAUUUUGGGUUAUUUCGUUUCCC